GGGAGAUCGCCCAUCAGGCGGUGGACAUGGGGCAGCUUCGAGAGGAAGGAGACAGUGGACUGCUGGAGGAAUGUCUGCGAGAAUACCGAGGCUAAUGGAAACAGAAGAUACCCACGGGCACAGGAUUAAGAGUCAAAGGGAAGAAAAGAGGGACGGGGCCGAGGAGUCUGGGGGGCCCGGCGUGGAAGGCCGGAGCAGAGGCCCCUAAGCGCCGUCCGCAGCCAGCCGCCUUCUCCGGAGACGCAUUCUCGGCUCCCGCACACUCAGCCCCCCACCGCCCCUGCCCCGGCAACAACCGCAGGCGCAGCUGUUUCCGUCGGGCCAGGGACAGCGGGGGUAAAGGCAACCCUGGGGCUGGCGGGCAGCAGACUGGCAGCGGCCGUGUGUGCGGGGAGCCGAUUCUGAGACCGCCAACGCCAGAUUUUGCCCUUUCUCCCCCCAGCCUCCUUUAUCACCCAACUUCCCGGCCGGCUGGUGUCCGCUUCGACCGACGGAUACCGCACCCCCCACAACGCCUCUCGCCGCCUCUUACCCCUCCCCCGACGCCCUGAGCUGAGGGAAAACAGGCCACCCGGACCGAUCCCGAACCCGCCCGGGUGUCCCCGAAUCGCGGACGCCACCCCCGCCCGAACGCUGGCACUCUCUCGGCGGCUCCCUGGCCCGCCCAGAUGCAGCAAACUCCUCUCACCUGCAUUGACGCCAUGAUGGAACCAUCCCCCCCAAGACCGGCGAGGCCACAGACGCAGGGGGAGGAGCUGCCGUGCUCGCGUCACGCCGCGGGGGCUCAACAUCCCGGGCGCGGGGGCGGGGCCUGCGAUGGGAAGGGGAUGGCGCGAGGGGAUUGGCUGGCACGCAGGGCAGACGGGAGGAGGGGCUACGGGGCGGGGCGAGGACGCGGUAGAUGGCGCUCUGAGUACUUUCCGUCUCAGUUCGACUGGCCGCUCCCGCGUCGGUCCCCCAUUUAUUCUCGUUACUGAGGAGACACGGCUCCAGUUUUGACCCGACUACGAUUGUUUUCUUCGUGUGUACCGCGAAAUGCUGAUGACGUCCAGUUCCGCGCAGUUUUUUUCCUAUUUCGUUUUGUUUUUCCAACCACAGUUGUGCAGUUCACAGUUUUUUCCCUUGGGAUGUGUUUUCCAUAUCUCCAAGCCCACUCUCAGAGCCUUGGGGCCCCAUAAAACUUCACGCGCAGCUGCUUUCUGGUCUUUGCAGACCUGGAAGGCUUCUCGUAUUCUUAAUUUGGGGAAGAGAGACAUAGGUUUCCUUGUACAACGGGAUGAGGAUUUAAGAGCAGAACGACACUGAUAUUUUAAAGGCGAGGGUAUUUAGAUUUGUGGAGCUGAAACUUGUCUGAAAAGGGAGACAAAAUUUGGAAGUUUGUUGUGUGCAGUUUCUGCACCUUACCCCAGCCCUUCAGUUUUAAACUUCGCAUGUAUCAACAAUAGUUACGGUUGUUGCAGCAGUCUAAAUUUGAUUAUCAGAGUUGACCCUAGGCAUGAAUUUUUUUUAAAUAUACCAAUGUCGUGUUAUAUACACUUAUGCCAUUAUGUCCAGAUUUCUCUUAAGCCUAUUUCGUGGUGGGCAGUUUUGUGGUCAUUUGGGGAUGAACUUGGGUAGGGAAAGCUGAGCAUACAUAAUUUAUUUUAGGAAUGCACCAGUUCUGCCAACAUUUAUCAGAAGUCACGUUUUUAAAAAGCUAUUCUGGAACUGAAGAUGUCAUUGGUUUAUACGAGGGAAAUGGAAGCCAAAAGCUUGCACCUCAUGCUCUAUCUUUAAAAAUUAAGGUGGCAGACACAAUGAGUAGAAGGCUUUUAUGUUACCAGAAGGAAGGCUUAAAAUCUGUCAUUUUAUUGACUCGGCUUUCUUUUUAGAAAUUUCUUUAAGAUAUAAAAGCAAUGUGGAAUAUCACUCUUUCACACUCUUAAAAUAGAUUACGGUCUCUGGAACUUCUCUAAUCUGAAAUGUGUUCAAAAAGGAAAAAGAUCUUUAAAAUACGCCAGUUAGUCUAUGGUAUAAUAUUAAACACUAUUCAUCACUAGAGAAGUUAUGGUGGUAUACCCUCCCCUUUCUCAGAUGUCCACCCUAAUGCCAGAAAUGAGCGGAGUUUCCGUUUGUUGUGCAAAAUGACUGUGUCCUUGAGGGAUGUUUGGAUGCUCUUGGUAAACCGGAAUCAACCAGAAGCAUAUCCGGUGUUAGCCUUGUUGUGUCAUCAACAUUACAACAGUGAGGAAACCCACAUAUUCCAAUGAAAGAGGAAAACUUAAAGAAGAAGUUUCCAGUAUAUUUUCUUUGAGAUAUCUUUAUUCCUAUGACCUCAGAAGAUCAGCUUUUACCGUCCAAGGUUCACUUUGCCUAAAAGCUGAUUAUUCUUAUGGAAAAAGUAGCAUCGGAUGACCCUGCAAACAAAGCAUUAUGACAUCAUCAGAGCCAGCAACCUGGCAUGACAGAUACUAAUAAGGAAAAAAGAGGUUACAAGAAUUCUGACACUCAUCACAGUGGAUCCAAUAUCUAGUCCCUUGGGUUUCAUAUAUGUUAGAAGUAUCUUCUCAGGAGGGAAAAGUCAAUGCCAGUCAUAUCCUUUCCAGCCAUUAGAAAUGUCCAUCAGCUUACGAGGAGAUUCUCCCUCAUCUCACAAACUACCUGCAUCUCCACUUCCCUGGAAGAAAAAAAAAAUCUGGACAUACCCAAGCUGUGUAUGUGCCUGAGAUCUUCCCUUCCAAGGGUGCCAUGGCGGGUAAUCAUCAGAGAACACACUGCUAUUUUCAAAUAAACAGAACUGAACAAAAGCAUUUU